rnacentral:pre_miRNA from 2 species
ACCCUGUAGAUCCGAAUUUGUAGUUGCAUCACAAGACAAAUUCGGUUCUAGAGAGGUUC